UACGGGGGGGGGCAAGCGUUGUUCGGAAUUACUGGGCGUAAAGGGCUCGUAGGCGGCCAACUAAGUCGGACGUGAAAUCCCCAGGCUCAACCGUGGAACUGCUCCGAUACUGGAUGGCUUGAAUCCGGGAGAGGGAUGCAGAAUUCCAGGUGUAGCGGUGAAAUGCGUAGAUAUCUGGAGGAAUACCGGCGGCGAAGGCGGCAUCCUGGACCGGCAUUGACGCUGAGGAGCGAAAGCUAGGGGAGCAAACGGG
rnacentral:rRNA from 1 species